rnacentral:misc_RNA from 1 species
UUGUGGAGGAGGACGCCGAAGGUGGGGCUAAUGACUGGGGUGAAGUCGUAACAAGGUAGCCGUACCGGAAGGUGCGGCUGGAUCACCUCCUAACAGGGAGACAACAAAAUGUUUAAUAUUAUUAUUUUGUCACCUUAGGUCGAUCGGUAUCUCACGUUUUUAAUUUAUUAAGAAUUUCAUUUCCUAAGUUUUUCUAGGUCACACCCAUUAUUUUUCCUGGGCCAUUAGCUCAGGUGGUUAGAGCGCACCCCUGAUAAGGGUGAGGUCCCUGGUUCAAGUCCAGGAUGGCCCAUAUCUCUAUGUUGGGGGUAUAGCUCAGUUGGUAGAGCGCCUGCUUUGCAAGCAGGAUGUCAGCGGUUCGAGUCCGCUUACCUCCACUGAUUACCACCUCUUCCAUAACCGGUAGAAAGGAAAUGUUUUGAGUUGUGAUCAAAUUCUGAAAGAAUCUAGCUUCCUAAUGAAUUCAUUAAGAUGCUGGACUCAUUGAAUUAAUUUCAUUGUUUUCAGAGAACCUUGACAACUGCAUAGAUUAUUUUUAAAGACAAUAAGCAUCUUUAAUGAUGCAGAUUUAUUAUUUGUGCGAAUGCAUUAAUAACAAUUCUAUUAAGCUGAUGCUUCAAUUUUGAAGUUAUUGGUCAAGCUACAA